GGUUUAAUGCUACUGGGUUUGCCUUAUCUUCCCAAAUAUUAUUCUUCAAUGGAAGUGGCAGCUUCUGCAACAGCACCAUCAAGCCUCUCAACUUCUUCUCUGACAAACCUACAGAUUCAUCCACUGUACAACAGACACAGCUUCUCACUACCUGCGAGAAAGCAUAACCAUCAUCAUGUUCUUGUUCAUCAAUAUAAUCAAUGUCGAUAUGAUGUAACAGUGAAGUGUGUGGGAACAGCCAAGUAUGAUGAGGUGGAGGUGGUGGACGAAGAGAUGGAGAAGAUAAGGAGGCUUCAGAAUGGGUCGGAUGUGAGAGGGGUGGCAUUGGCGGGAGAGAAAGGGAGGAAGAUUGAUCUCACUCCUGCUGCGGCGGAAGCCAUAGCUGAGAGCUUUGGAGAGUGGGUCAUCAAUGGUGUCAAGAAGGACGGUGACGUGAGGGUGUCACUCGGGCGUGACCCGAGGAUUUCCGGGUCGAAUCUGAGCGUGGCGGUGUUUGGAGGGCUUACUCGUGCAGGUUGCAUGGUGUUUGAUAUGGGAGUGGCAACCACACCAGCUUGUUUCAUGAGCACUGUGUUGCCCCCAUUUGCUUAUGAUGCUUCCAUUAUGAUGACAGCAUCUCACUUGCCUUACACUCGAAAUGGCCUCAAAUUUUUCACCAAGAAAGGAGGACUGACGUCUGUGGAGGUAGAGGAAAUUUGCAAUGAAGCAGCUCGUAAAUACGCAAACAGGCUCGCAAAAGUCUCUACUUUGCUCAAAACUCUUCCGCAGAAAGUUGAUUUCAUGACUGCUUAUGCGCUUCAUCUCAGAGAAAUCAUCAAGCAGAGAGUCAACCAUCCUCUUCAUUAUGAUCUUCCCCUCAAGGGAUUUCAGAUAAUAGUGAACGCAGGAAAUGGCUCCGGCGGAUUCUUCACCUGGAAUGUUCUAGACAAGCUUGGUGCUGAUACAUUCGGUUCCCUUCAUCUCAAUCCGGACGGCAUGUUUCCUAACCAUAUCCCUAAUCCUGAGGACAAAACCGCCAUGGGCGUGACCAGAUCAGCUGUCCUUGAGAACUCGGCCGAUCUCGGCGUUGUUUUCGACACCGACGUGGACCGGAGCGGCGUGGUGGACAACAAAGGAAAUCCUAUAAAUGGUGACAAGCUCAUUGCCCUCAUGUCCGCCAUUGUACUGAGAGAGAAUCCAGGAUCUACCAUAGUCACUGAUGCUCGCACCAGCACGGCUCUCACCAGAUUUAUAACUGAUAGAGGAGGGCACCAUUGUUUGUACCGAGUUGGGUACAGAAAUGUCAUUGACAAAGGAGUUCAACUUAACGGGGAUGGAAUUGAAACUCAUCUUAUGAUGGAAACUUCUGGACAUGGUGCCCUGAAGGAGAAUUAUUUCCUCGAUGAUGGGGCGUACAUGGUGGUGAAGAUUAUAAUUGAAAUGGUGCGAAUGAAGCUGGAAGGAUCAGACAAAGGGAUUGGUAGUCUCAUUGAAGAUCUUGAAGAACCAAAAGAAUCAAUAGAACUAAGGAUGAAUAUCAUUUCAGAACCCAGAGAUGCAAAGGCAAAAGGAUCUGAAGCCAUCGAAACAUUUCGAAACUACAUUCAGGAAGGGAGACUCAAAGGGUGGGAACUAGAUUCUUGUGGGGAUUGUUGGGUGAGCGAUGGAUGCCUUGUGGAUACUAAUGACACCCCAACAGCCAUUGAUGCUCACAUGUACAGGGCAAAAGUUAAGGAUGAAGAGAGGGGAGAACAUGGUUGGGUUCACAUGAGGCAAAGUAUACACAACCCUAACAUUGCUGUGAAUAUGCAAUCAACUGCAGAUGGAGGUUGCUUGUCAAUGGCAAGGGAUUUCAGAGACGGAUUUCUCAAAGCAAGUGGAGUGGAUAGAUUUCUUGACAUCACUCAAGUUGAAAAGUUUGCUGCAAAUGGGAUUACAGCCUAGGCUUCAAUAAUCAAUGAUCUGUUCUGUUCUACACACAGUGAGAGGCUAAGGCCUUCCCAUCUAUGGAUUCACAUCGAGAAUUAUUCAUUGAUCAGCGUUAUUCUCAAAAGUCAUGGAUCUAUUAUAUUCCUCAGAAGAAAACAUGUUACUAUGGCAAAACAGAUCAUUAUUAUUUGCCUUCACAAACUUCUGACAAAGUGAGACAUAUUUGAGCAGUGAAGAUCUUUUCCUACUUUUAUGAAUAACAUCAGGACUCAGAAUUUAUUUGACAUGAUCAUAUGUUCCUCUGACACUGAGACAUAAAAUAAGGACCAAGUCAGGACUCAAUUUAUUUAACAUGAUCAUGUGUUCCU